rnacentral:rRNA from 1 species
CGGGCGAGUAAAGUGGCGCAAGGGUGAGUAACACGUAACCAACGUACCCCUCAGAUCGGGAUAACCACUGGAAACGGUGGGUAAGACCGGAUGGUCCGCGGAGUGGCAUCACUCCGACGGUAAACGGUGGCUUCGGCUGCUGUUGAGGGAGCGGGUUACGGCCUAUCAGCUUGUUGGAGGGGUAACGGCCCACCAAGGCAAUGACGGGUAGCGGGUCUGAGAGGAUGGUCCGUCACACUGGGACUGAGACACUGCCCAGACUCCUACGGGAGGCUGCAGUCGAGAAUCUUCCACAAUGGGCGAAAGCCUGAUGGAGCGACGCUGCGUGCAGGAUGAAGGCCUUAGGGUUGUAAACUGCUGUCACGCUAUAGGAACCCGUGUCGGUUAAUACCCGGCGCGCUGACUAAAGCGAAAGGAAGUGCCGGCUAACUCCGUGCCAGCAGCCGCGGUAAUACGGAGGGCGCAAGCGUUGUUCGGAAUCACUGGGCAUAAAGAGCACGUAGGCUGUCUACUCAGUCGGAUGUGAAAUCCCCCGGCUCAACCGGGGAACUGCAUACGAUACUAGUAGACUAGAGGACAGGAGGGGUGAGUGGAACUCCAGGUGGAACGGUGAAAUGUGUAGAUAUCUGGAGGAACACCGGUGGCGAAGGCGGCUCACUGGCCUGUUUCUGACGCUGAGGUGCGAAAGCUAGGGUAGCGAACGGGAUUAGAUACCCCGGUAGUCCUAGCCGUAAACGAUGGGCACUAGGCAAUGGGUUUUCCCUAUGGGACUCAUUGCCGUAGCUAAUGUGUUAAGUGCCCCGCCUGGGGAGUACGCUCGCAAGGGUAAAACUCAAAGGAAUUGACGGGGGA